UGGUCCUACGGGGGGCAGCAGUGAGGAAUAUUGGUCAAUGGGCGAGAGCCUGAACCAGCCAAGUCGCGUGAGGGAAGACGGUCCUAUGGAUUGUAAACCUCUUUUGUCGGGGAGCAAAAAGGCCUCGUGAGGCCACAAGUGAGAGUACCCGAAGAAAAAGCAUCGGCUAACUCCGUGCCAGCAGCCGCGGUAAUACGGAGGAUGUGAGCGUUAUCCGGAUUUAUUGGGUUUAAAGGGUGUGUAGGCGGACUGGAAAGUCAGCGGCAAAAUCGAGAGGCUGAACCUCUUUC
rnacentral:rRNA from 1 species